AUUGAACGCUGGCGGCAGGCUUAACACAUGCAAGUCGAGCGAGCGGCGGACGGGUGAGUAAUGUCUGGGAAACUGCCUGAUGGAGGGGGAUAACUACUGGAAACGGUAGCUAAUACCGCAUACCAUCGGAUGUGCCCAGAUGGGCUUAGCUAGUAGGUGGGGUAAAGGCUCACCUAGGCGACGAUCCCUAGCUGGUCUGAGAGGAUGACCAGCCAAAGUGGAACUAAGAAACGGUCCAGAAUCCUACGGAAGGGAGCAGUGGGGAAUAUUGCACAAUGGGCGCAAGCCGGAUGCAGCCAUGCAGCGUGUAUGAAGAAGGCCUGCGGGUUGUAAAGUACUUUCAGCGGGGGGGCGUAACCCGCAGAAGAAGCACCGGCUAACUCCGUGCCAGCAGCCGCGGUAAUAC
rnacentral:rRNA from 1 species